rnacentral:tRNA from 1 species
AGGGGUAUAGCUCGGUGGUAGAGCACAUGCUUAGCAUGCACUGGGUCCUGGGUUCAAUUUCUAGUACCUCCA